rnacentral:rRNA from 1 species
AUGGACCCGAUGAUCGGCGUCAGCAGGAGCGACAUGCUCGCCGGCUUGGAGCGCGACGGCUUGGACCCGGGGACGCUGGACGCCGGCACAAACCUGCUGCUCCACGUCGUGUACGACUACCUCCCGGACCCGCCCGUCUCCCCCACCGCCACCCUCUCGCUCGCCGGCGCGUCCUGGGUCCCCGACGGCGUCGACCGCAUCAGCUGCCUCCCCGAUGUGGUCCUCCGCGACAUCAUCUCCCGCCUCCCCGCCAAGGACGCCGCGCGCACCGCCGCCCUCGCCUCGCGCUGGCGCCCCCUUUGGCGCUCGGUGCCCCUCACUCUCGUCGACAGCCACCUGCUCCCGGACGGCGGCGCGCGCGGGCAGCUCGUCAUCGGCGCUCCCUCUCCCCGCGCCGUCACCGCCGCGGUGUCCCGCGUCCUCGCGGCGCACCCGGGCCCCUUCCGCUGCGUCCACCUCACCCGCACCACCAUGGAGGAGCACCGGGGCGAGAUGUCGCGCUGGCUCGACAUCCUCGUCGCCAAGGGGGUCCACUGCUCCACCCUCACCCGCCUCUACCUCGGCGUCUGGAGGCUGCCGGACACCGCUGCCGUGCCGCGCGGCGCCAGAUUCCCCAAUCUCAAGGAGCUCGGUCUGUGCUUCUGUGUCAUGGAGGACCGUGAUCUGGCCUUCAUGCUUGAAAGAAGCCCCGUCCUGGAGUUCCUCGUCCUCAUGGGAAGCCAGACCGGAGUGCGCCUCCGCCUCGUCAGCCAAAGCCUGCGGUGUCUUCAGCUGGGCUUUACCUGCUUGGAGGACAUCGAAGUGGUGGAUGCCCCUCGCCUGGAGAGGCUCUUCCAGCGGGACACCGACGAUGCUUCCCUAACCUGGAGACGCUCCAUGUCCAGGAUCAAGAUUGGGCGUGCACCAAACCUGCGUGUGCUGGGAUAUCUUCAGCCAGGAGAGCAAGAGUUGGGGAUUGGAAACACCGUCAUCGUGGCUGGAACAAAGGGGAGCAUUGUCCCUAGUGUACAGAUUUUGGCCAUAGAGGUGCAGUUCGGUGUCCGCAAUGCUGUCAAGAAAGUGCCUGGUUUCCUCAGAUGCUUUCCUAACCUGGAGACGCUCCAUGUUCAGUCCAGCGUUGAUGAAGAGCCCACUGGCAAGGUGAACAUCAAGUUCUGGCAGGAGGGCGGCCCCAUUAAAUGUGUUGUGCAGAGCAUGAAGAAGGUGUUUUUCUACGAGUUCCGAGGGUCGAGAAGCGAGGUUGUUUUCCUCAAGUUCCUCGCGGAGAGAGGGCGGGUGCUGGAGCAGAUGGUUGUUGUGGUAGCCAGCGAAUGUUUCUCUUCGGGGUCGGGUUAUGUGAAUGCCAAACUGAAGCCUCUGAUCAGUGCAAAAUGGUCGAGUAAAGGUUGCAAACUGCAGCUCUUCAAGAGCCCAGCCGGUGAGGGGUCCGGUCCAGCUUACUCACACGAACUAGCUUCUGAUUUUGGGUUUCCUGACCCUUUUGACCUCAAGUACUACUAUAAAGCAGAAAGGAUCCCUGUAAGUUAA